rnacentral:lncRNA from 12 species
UUGGGACAUUUCAGUGAUGGCCAUGGACACCUGCUGAAAUGUGCUGGGGCAGCUGAAGAAGAGUGAGGCCAGCCCCAUGGCUGUGAAGGUGGUGCAUAGUCUCUUGCACCUCUUUGAUGCGAAGGAAGAGUGUGUACGGGAGUGCUCCAUCUGCCUCUUCAGAGACC